rnacentral:rRNA from 1 species
GGGCAAAGUUGGCAUGUGAUACCUUUUCGGAAAGCCCAAAGAGAACUCUCCGAUGAAUGAGGAAGGACAAUGGAAUUUUUCUAUUGUUUUUUUUUUCUAGUCAAAAUUUUGACCUUAAUGUACUUUUUCUGGCCUUUUCGUGAUUUGCUAUAUUACGGGACGAAGAUUAUACGUUCGGACAUUGUUUUCAAAUAUUUUGCAUGUAUCAAAGCUCUUAUAAACAAGAUAGGUAUUCCUACAUAGCUGGUGGGACCCACGGCAAAUGGAUCAUAAAGUCUUCAAAAAAAAUAUAUAUGAUUGCAUUGCAUGUAGUAACUGAUGCGAUCAUACCAGCACUAAUGCACCGGAUCCUAUCAGAACUCUGCAGUUAAGCGUGAUUGGGCGAGAGUAGUACUAGGAUGGUUGACCUCAUGGAAAGUCCCUUGUGUUGCAUUCUUCUUUUUUUCGGUUUUUCUCUUUUUUUUUUGUUAAGAAUGUAUGACUCGAUAACUUAUA